CAGCAGCCGCGGUAAUACCGGCGGCCCGAGUGGCGGUCACUAUUAUUGGGCUUAAAGCGUCCGUAGCCGGGUUGGGAAGUCCUCCGGGAAAUCUGGCCGCUUAACGGUCAGAAUGCCGGAGGAUACUCCCAGCCUAGGGAGCGGGAGAGGCCGAGGGGAUUCCCGGAGUAGGGGGGAAAUCCUAUAAUCCCGGGAGGACCACCGGUGGCGAAGGCGCUCGGCUGGAACGCGUCCGACGGUGAGGGACGAAGGCCAGGGGAGCAAACCGGAUUAGAUACCCGGGUAGUCCUGGCUGUAAACGAUGCGGACUUUGUGUCGGACAAGCUAUGAGCUUGUCCGGUGCCGGAGGGAAACCGUUAAGUCCGCCGCCUGGGGAGUACGGCCGCAAGGCUGAAACUUAAAGGAAUUGGCGGG
rnacentral:rRNA from 1 species